UACGUAGGUGGCAAGCGUUGUCCGGAUUCAUUGGGUUUAAAGGGUGCGUAGGUGGCUAACUAAGUCAGUGGUGAAAUAUCUCAGCUUAACUGAGAGGGUGCCAUUGAUACUGGAUAGCUUGAGUACAGAUGAGGUAGGCGGAAUUGACGGUGUAGCGGUGAAAUGCAUAGAUAUCGUCAAGAACACCGAUAGCGAAGGCAGCUUACCAAGCUGUAACUGACACUGAGGCACGAAAGUGUGGGGAUCAAACAGG
rnacentral:rRNA from 1 species